rnacentral:lncRNA from 1 species
CGCUUCCUGCGCCUGUUCAGGUCAUCGCUUGCUCUGGUUCCCAGGCUUUGGCCUCUAGUGGACGAGAAUCACCGAGUCUGCGGGGCUAGACGCUGACCGCCCGGGCCAGCACCUAGGCGGGCGGGAGCUGUGCGGCCCAGGGUUCGCGCGGGCCGGGUAGAGGCUCGAGCCAGGACCCCCGAGCGUGAACCCCGGAGCCGGCGGCGCUGGGGCCAGAGGGGCCGGGCGGGAGGUGAUGGCGGAGGCGAAGGGGCGACGGGACCUGGGCCUGGCCCGUGUGUGUCCUCAGAGGCCUGGCGCCGGCCGUCGCUGUACGGUGAGCCCCAGGGAGGCGGAUCUGGGCCCCGAGAAGGACACCCACCUGGAUUUGCCCCAUAGGCCCGGCCCGGGCCCCUCGGGAGCAGAACAGCCUUGGUGAGGUGGACAGGAGGGGACCUCGUGAGCAGACGCGUGCGCCAGCGACAGCAGCCCGCCCCGGCCUCUCAGGAGCCGUGGGGCAGAGGCUGCGGAGCCCCAGGAGGGCCGGAGCCCUCAUGACUUCAGUGACCUGCUUCUGCCCCUCUAGGUCUAUCAGCCACAGUCUCUGCAAGUUUCCAAGAGCAGCAGAAAAUGAACACAUUGCAGUCAUGUUGUCAUAGGAACAACUGGAGAAGAAUAAAGUGGACACGAAAAGGGAGAGUAUUCUUCCAACGAUAAUACUCACAUCGCAGAACGCGAAAAUCUUCUGUCAGGAGGGGCGAUCCUCAGAGUCACUGGGCUACACACCAUCCUGGAGUUGCGAGGGGACAGCACAGCCUUCUUGUGAUAACCAUUCCAGCACACUGUGGGAAGUACCCCCGGACAGGAAUACUGGGCCUGAUGGAUCGGAUAGCGUCUUCGAGGUGUUAUUACAAACCGAUCUGGUAAAGUCCCACGAUCCCUGCAGAGAAUGCGAGACAAAUCAUGGAAACAAAGUAUAAAAGAAUGUCAAAAUUUUAGACGGUUAAAAACCCACCAGUUAAGACAUUUUCCAAAGAACUUAAGUCUCUUUCUACGCAACACAGAACACGUUGUUUUUAUGGCAACUUUCCCCUAUUCCAUCUAAGAGCAGAGAGUGACAGCUGCUUAACAGCUGUCUCAACAAUGGAUUGCAACAAUUUGAGAGGGAAAAUCUAAAUCUAGACUAAAUCUAGACUGCACUAAAAUUCGGGGAGUUUUUAGAACUGGAAAGAAGGGAAUCGUUUUGGCAACACAUCUCACACCAAGCAAGAGUCAGAGGCCAGGAGACGGCUGGCACACACCAAGGUGUUAAGGAGGGCAAAACCACACACAAUUCCCUUCGGAUUUGAUGAAAAAGCAAAUCGGAUUUAAAAGUCCUCGAUUUCAAGCCAGCCGAGCCAAAGGAUGAUCUGGGAAAAUCAGCGCAUCUCACCGUGGGGAAGGCCUCCCGGAGGGUCGGAGAAGAGGAGUGGGGAGAGAGGGGUAAAAGUGGUGAACGCGAUGGGUCGGCGGGGAGGGCGGUGUGGAGCGCGGCGCCGGGCGGGCGGGCGGCGGCCAGGCCUAUUCCGCAGGUCCUGGCCCUCCGGAGCGGGGGCGGGCUGCGGCGGCCCGGGCUUGCCCAGGUAACUGCCCAUGAGGAGCAGUUCGGCAGGGUCAGGUCCUUCGAGCAGGGUCCGCGGCUCUAGGAGGUUUCCGUUGGCUGUCGACUUGGCCGGAGGCGAAGCGAACAGUGUUCGCCGAUGUCGCGCCUUCUGAACGAAGGAGGACAAGGGGCGCGAACCUCGGGGCUCGCGGCUCAGUCCCCACCAGGCCGCGGUAGUCCCCACGGCCAGCCAGGCCAGCGCAGCCGCAGCAGGCACGAGGUACAGUAGGAGGCCGACCAGCGACAGGCCGAGAAGCGCCGCCCCGGCCGGCCCUGACACUCGCUAUCGGCCGCCGCCGCUCGCCUGCUCCAGCCGCCGCAGCCGCCGGAGACAUCGCGGCUCCGCGCCGCGGAGGAGACUUAAAUAUCCCAGCGUGCACCGCGCCACGCGUCGCGUCAUCGCGCGCCCGCCACGUCAUGCGCGCGCGACUCGGGGAGACGCUACAGCCCGGCAGCUCCCGAGACACAGCUGUUUUGGAAAAUGCUGCCUGCCUUCAACGCCUGUUUCUGACUCUUGCGGUUUCCCGCAUGGCUCCCAGCGAGACGAUCCCGUCCGGGAUCCCAUCCGGCUCCCAUCCGGAGGCGAUCCCGUGAAAGGAUCGCGUCCAAAAUAAAAGGGCCCGAGACCUAUGCUUAUGUAAUUCCUAAUCCGUGAUCUUUUCUAGGGGCUGAACUCCCCUCCAGCACAGCCUGUUACCAGGUGCUUUUCACAAACGCCACUGGCGGCUGAGUUUUCCCCCCCACUUCCAUUUCUACUUUACAAGUUGAUAACGUGGGACGAUUACCUACCAAAUUUCACAUCAUGGCCCAGACAUCGGGUGGAUUUUGAGGCUCUGUGAUCGAUUUAUACCUAUGCUAAAGUUAUCGGUCUGAGAAAGUAGAUUAGUGGUUGCCUAGGGCUAAGGAGUGGGUUUGGGGGUGGGGAAUAGAAAAUGACUGCUUAUGGGUAUAGGCUUUCUCGUAGCAGCAUAAACAUAGUUUAAAAUUAGAUCGUGUUGGCGGUUGCACCACCCUAUGAACUGUAUGGUUUGUGAAUUAUAUCUUCAUAAAGCUGUUUAAAAAGUCAAAAAAAAAAAAAAAAAAAAAAAAAA